AAAUCUAAUGGUCUUAAUUGUCUCAGUUCUCUUAAGAUUUUAGUUUUAAAUUUUUCAUUAAAUUUCUCUCAAAAUCUUGUUGUUUUAAAUUUUUUAAUUCGUAAUUUAUUCAUUUCAAUUGAUUUUUAUAAUAGCAAUUCCUCUUAUUCGUUUCGAUGACAACUACAUUUUUGGCGUGAAAUUACAAAUGAUAAGGAAAAAAUUGUAAUUUUUUAAAUUUUAAUUAAGUUCAUUUUUAAGUUGUUAACAUUAUUAAAUUUAUAUUUUUUUGUUGAUAUAAUCAGGUCGAAGAUCGAAUUUUGGAGAUGUACAUACACAAUCUAUCUGCGAGGGCACUGUGUGUAAUUGAACCUCAAUUGUAAGAGGUAGGAUUCUUGUUUGUGUCUCAUAUGCUCGAGGGGUGUAAAUUGGAUUUCACACAUAUCAACACUUUGGUGGAAAGAUGGAGACUCGAGGCACACACAUUUCAUUUUCCAUGCGGUGAGUGUACAAUUACACUCGAGGACGCAACUUUACAACUCAGUUUACCGAUGGAUGGGCUAGUCGUUACGGGGUCAGUGGUCAUUGGCGCUUGGGGUGGCAUCAUUUGUGAGCAACUAUUAGGCAAGGUGUUGGAUAAGGUUUUUGGUAGUCGGAUAGAGAUGAAAUGGUUGAAAGAUGAAGAUAAGUUCGGUUAUCUCAACAAUACCUCAAGUGCCCUUCAAAGAGAACAAAACACCCGAGCAUUCAUCCUAAGGUUAAUCGAGGGUGUUCUAAUGCCCAAUAAAUCUUGAACUCUGGUGCAUUUAAGGUGGCUACUAUAACUUGUUGACUUGAAAGAAGUGGGUCGACUUAGUUGGGGAUCAAUUGUGUUGGCCACGUUAUACCAAGAGACGUGACAGGCGACACAACCAUAAAAAAUUAAGAUCAGUGGUUACAUACUCCUGCUGUAGUCAUGGGCACUGUAUCAACUACUAUUUUUACUUCCCGAGUUGAUGCCCAUUAUACUUUUUCACUCGUAACAAGGCGGAACAAUAACCCGAGUUAUGUUGGACUAGUGGAGGAGCUCGAGACUACUGUUAGAUUAAUGAUCAGAAGUCGAGUUUGAAUGGAUGUCAUAUGCUGAUCAAGAAAUUCAAACAUGCAUCUCGGCCAAAUUUUUGGCCAAUUGGCUGCGGUUCGACAUGUGUGCACUAGGGUUGAGAAUCAACGCUUAAAACAAUCAAUAAUAUUGCGAUAUUUGCAAGUAUAACAUGUAAGUUGUAAUAUUUAUAGUGUUUAAUGGAACACCAAAGUAUUCCAAGGAUCGAA